AGCGCCUGCCGGGAUUGUUUGGAAUGGCUGACGAAUAGGCAGCCGAGAAGACUUUUCUGGAUUUUGUCAAGCUGAGGUCUCAAGCCAAGAGGAGAAGGGUGAUCUCAGGGGAUCAAAAAAGACGUGGGAGGCAGGGCAGACACAAAGUCAGCAUAUUGGAGACUUUACAGACCCAAACUAGAAAAAGCCUGCCUUUCCCACAGUGUGCUUAGCAAAGAGGUGGUGGCCUUCCCACUGCCACCAGGAGGAAGCUGGCACCCCAGAGUGGACACACAGGAAGAGUCCCCACCUCCUCUGUGCUCUGGUUUGCGAGAGCACAUACAACAGGACACAUGUUCACACGUGCUGCUGACCUGGAAUUGUUCAACUCAGAAAACCACGGAUCCUUGGACAGGAUGGAGACCCACAUUCCUCACAAUGAGCCCACAGGCAGCUUCGCGGCUUUCCAAACAGUCUGACACUAAGAACUGGAGACUGGUCUGGCUUCAAUCAUUUGCCCAUUUCUCUCCUUUCUAUCCAUCACAGGACAAGGGCCUGGGCGUGCCCCUCUGUGAACCCUCAAGACCCUCCCCUGAAGAGAAGAAAAAUUGUCAUCCGCCUUUGACCUGAUUAAUAAUUAAAACCGCUGAGUUUGAACUGCCCCUAACGGUGAGGUGCUCCAAAACCCCAGAAAACUUUAACAAAUAACCAGCCUGCUGCGGGGAGAGGAAGCUCUUUUCACUAGACGAACUGACAAUUAGCCGCUAUUCAAAAUCCCCCUCCAGUCUUAGCAUAUUGGUUCUCCUUUGAAAGUGGCUCGGCAUGGGGUAGAAUUUUUGGCCUUGAGUUGGGAACUACUGUGCAUAAAAUCAAAGAAUGGAAGCCAGCAGUUGACAGAAUAGAGGCUAUUUGGGGAUUAGUGAUUUCAGGAGUUAGACUUCUAAUAACUUGGUGAGUGGUGGGUUAGGAAUGUCCUCAGGAGCAUCCGGCAGUCAGCUCGGUGGGACAUGUCCUCACAUUGAACUGAAAGCGUGAGUCACUCACUACCCCAGAGAUGAGAAACACAAAAUGGCAGGAAGUAACUGCAACUCGGCAGCGCCACAUGGCAAGCGCAUUUUAGAACUGCUGCAGGCUACAUCUCACGCUUGCAGUCUUGGGGUUACAUGUGAGACCCCAAGUAGGGCUCCAAGUUUUCUCCCCAAAGAGCCACAAAUAUAGACCACCACCCCAUUAGGGAACACACUGAUGGGAAACAAAGGAGUGGAUGAGAUGGGAGAAGGGAGAAGGCGGGAGCAGGCAUCCAAACUGCUCAUUUUCCCCUAGGAAGCAUAAGGCCCAGCCACUACGGUGGGUGAGCAAAGCAAAUUGGUAAUGGGUGAUCCAGAUUGCAUCUCGGAGUCUUGCCUGCUUUCCAGGCACUUACUGAACUUUUAUAACUCUUUUGGGGGUAAGGCAGGAAAACCCGUGGUUUCUUAUUGACCAGUUGGGGAGAGGGAGUCGAAGCUGGCUGGCCCAAGUCUGUUGCUUCUGUACAAGCCAUACUGUAGUCCACCCAGAGAUGCUUUUUAAUAAAUUUACUAAGGGUGGAGAGGCUAGAAAAUUAUCAUGUGAUCAUCGGCUGCAGCAGCUUCAAGAUUGCACAAGCCCAGCCUGGAAAGUCCUAGAAAGUCGUUUUUCCAGAGAGGGAAAGCAGAAGGCAGAGACCCACACAGACCACUCAUCCUCAUCACCCAGGAGGGGCAGAAAACCUUUGUGAUGUGAAUGUCAGCACUCAUUUCUACUGAAUAUAUAUGCAAGAGUGGAACCACAAGGCCACUUAUCAUAAACAAAGUAGCCUGGCCUUCAAGAGAAAGGGGGCCAUGUCUGUCUGCUGUUAUACCCUGUAAGACUGUCACGAGGUGUGGACUCCUCUCCGGAGAAAACCAGGAUUCUUCAGAUGUUGGAGCCUGGAGCCACGCAUUAGGAUCCCGGGGGAAUUUUCAUGCUUUAGCAAAUGAGCAGUCCAACCACCGGCGAGUAGGGUUUCUUCAGAUUUUGAAUCGCAUUUUUGAGCAACGGACCUGCCUUCAAUCCUUCAAGGAAAAAGGUCCUAAGAAGAACACAAAGUAAAAAUUUUGUGCUUGGAAGAGAACAUUAUGGUGAGGGACCUGUGAGCCCCGGACACGGGAAACUGGAUUCUGGAGGAAUUCUGGCCCAGAGGCUGGGAGCUUGCCACUUACUGAGAGCUCAGACUUGAAGCCUACUUCAAGAGUGAAGGCAGACUUGCUGUUUCUGGUUAGAAGCUGAGUGCCUGGGAUGGAGGGUCAAGGGACGCAGGCAAGAACAAAAACAUCCCUGUCAGGGACCCCAGCCAGGAGUAAGAGACUGCUGGGUGACUCCUAGACCUUCAGCUGGGGAUGUCCAGGUGUUACCUAGGCUAGCACUGCUUCUGCCUUGGGUACAUCUUCCUGCCAAGUGUCAUCCAUAAUGAUAUAAAUAAAUGAUAGCUAUUAGU